rnacentral:rRNA from 1 species
AAUGAACGCUGGCGGCGUGCCUAACACAUGCAAGUCGAACGAGAACGCCUGGCUUGCCAGGCAAGUAAAGUGGCGCACGGGUGAGUAACGCGUGGGUAAUCUACCUCGAUAUGGGGGGAUAACACAGCGAAAGUUGUGCUAAUACCGCAUAACAUAAUUUUGACUUCGGUUGAAGUUAUCAAAGGUGGCCUCUAUAUAUAAGCUACUGUAUUGAGAUGAGCCCGCGUACCAUUAGCUAGUUGGUAGGGUAAGAGCCUACCAAGGCGACGAUGGUUAGCUGGUCUGAGAGGAUGGCCAGCCACACUGGAACUGGAACACGGUCCAGACUCCUACGGGAGGCAG